GGAUUAGAUACCCUGGUAGUCCACGCCGUAAACGAUGUGUACUAGUUUGAUGCGGAUCUGACUCCGUGUCGAACGCCGAGAAAUCAUUAAGUGCACCGCCUGGGGAGUACGGUCGCAAGGCUAAAACUCAAAGGAAUUGACGGGGGCUCACACAAGCGGUGGAGCAUGUUGCUUAAUUCGAAACAACGCGAAGAACCUUACCUGGGCUUGACAUGCACGGAUUAGCUUAUGGAAACAUGAGUGACGCCCUUGGGUGGAACGUGCACAGGUGCUGCAUGGCUGUCGUCAGCUUGUGUUG
rnacentral:rRNA from 1 species